rnacentral:misc_RNA from 1 species
CUGAGUUACCGCUCAUCAACCCUUUGUGAACAUGCCUUAACUGUUGCUUCGGCGGAUAGGCGUCCCCUAAAAAGGACGUCUCCCGGCCCUCUCCCGUCCGCGGGUGGGGCGCCCGCCGGAGGAUAACCAAACUCUGAUUUAACGACGUUUCUUCUGAGUGACACAAGCAAAUAAUCA